rnacentral:ncRNA from 1 species
ACAGUACAAACUGAGCAGGCGAUGCCCGGGAGGGCGUGGGGCCGGGCCGCCAGAUGGCGGCAGCAGAUGGACGAUAGACACAUCUGUGGGACAGU